AAGGUCAGGGAGGUCAGAAAGGAGAGAUACAGAGAAUAAGGGACAGGAGCUUGUGAUCUCUUGACAAAAGGCAAGAUCAGGCAUGGAAUCAAAACAGAGGAGUAAGAGAGGGGUCUAAAGGUGAUGGGUAGCCAGUGGGAUGGAGAGAUAUGAGUUCCAUAGGCAACAGGAAAAGAUUAGGUCCUUCAAAAAGGCGGGCAAAAAUCAAGCAAUCUCAGACAUUACUAACUCUGCACUCCACAAGAGUGAAACUAUUCCCUCCUGUCAUUUCUGUGAUAGGCACUCCCCAAGGCCCCCCACUGCUGCUAGAGCUCCAAUAUCUGAGGCAUUGUGCCUCACACUGGUGACGUGCUCUCUGCCACAAGGGCCUUACAGUUUAGCGUGACCCAAAAUGCAACAAAGAAGUGUAACAAAAUAUUGCACGACACCAGGAGAGGAAGGACAGCUGGAGUCUUGGAAGGCUACAUUGCAUUUUAUGUUAUAUGAUGUCACAGUGAUAGUCAAAUUAAAUAAUGGACAAGUAAUGUACACAGAGAGCAGCAACCCACCCUCCAUCUCAGGCAUUUCCACUGUCUUUUUUUGUCCCAUUCAAGAAUGAGGAAAUCCCAAGCACUCAAUUUAACCUCUUUUCCAAGGGCCUGUUGUUGGUGGUAGUUAGGGCAGAAGACUAACACAGACACAGCUGAAGCACAGCAUGUCCUACUAGAGGUCACAGCCUUUGACUUGUAACAUUCUGUGAGAGCAGCAGUAGGGAGCAGCUGGACACGUACAAGCUUUGCCCUGACUCAGCCUAGAACAGCCCAUCUCUGUCCCUUGUUCUGCCUUGCAUUGCACUGUCACGGCUCUUUGCAAGUGAGCUGCGUACAGAAGUUCCUUUUCAGCUGGACCAGUUCCCAGGGAAGGCAUGCAAAUAUUCUGCCAGCCAGCGUGGGAAGAGUGUUAGGGGCAGGCAGGGAGGCAGCAGGGCUUGUAGAAGCUGCUGGAGACAUUCUGCUCCAGAGGCACAGGACUGGCCUCAGCUGUGCUUGUGCAAAACAGGUUGUUUUACUAAAAUGCAUUUUCAGAUGCCUAAAAUGGAUUUUGGUACUCAAGCUGGACACCUUAGGUUUCAUUUUCCUAGGAUGGUAAUCACUAAGCCAGCAGUUCACCUCCCCCAGAGUGAGGAGGCCCUGUUCCCAGACGUGCAAUCCCAUAAUUUUGUCAGCCCUACUACCUGUGAAUGAAUGAAGCCCUUCAGUCACCAGUGUUGGUCACUAACCAAGCAGAAACGUGACCUUGAAAGAAACAGCUGCGUGGUUUUCUGCUGUGUCAUUGAGUUGUAUCAGCCAGCUCACAGGCAAGUCAAAUAAGCUCCAGAGCCACCAUAAAUGAGGAGGCAGGCUCUUUGGCUGGGAAGAAGUUUGCCUUAGAGGAGAAGGGAAAGAAGGAACAAGACUUCCCCCUUAUGGCAAUAUCAAGCCACUGGAUAGGCUUAGGUGCUCACAGAUGCAGCUUGAGAGGUCAAUUUACACGUGUUAAACCAGGAAAAAACGAACUCUGCGGGAGCCAGCAGUGCUGCAGUUUGCUGCAAUCCCUAAAUUCACUCCUAUUUCCUAGGAGGAAAUGGUGAUAGUUCCACAUCUCUUAUUAAUGUAGAAAUACUCAUUAAAGAAGUUUUAUUAAAUAAAAUUGGAGAAAAAUCAGUUCUCAGCCCACAGACUUCUUCACUUUGAAGAAAGAAGUACCUUUUGAACAUAUAUUGAGGCACAUCCCCUAAUUAUCAUUUGUACAUAGUAUAAGCAACACUCAUUAUAAAGAGAAUGCAACUUUAAAUCACACAAUGUAAAUUUCCCAUGAGUUCCUAAUGGCAGAGCAGUACCGUGGGUUUAAAUAAGCCUUUUCAGUGUCUCCCACUCCUGUCAGUUCCUGGGGUGAAGUGUGCCCUACCUGCUUUAAGACAGGGAAGAUGUUCAUCCUUGCUAAGCUCCCUCUCACCACAAACUGGAAAAAAAGUUUAAAUAGACUGAUGUGUUUCUUUCUUCAUGCCAGGCCUGCAUCACUUCUAACUGCUCAUCCCUCUAGCAUGGACCUUAUCCUCACUUAGCAGAGUUAUUAUGACAUGGCCUGGAGCUGCCCACAAAGAUAGCAAUUACUCCUCUCUCUAGUGUUGGCCUGCUUUGCAAGAGGCCUGGGCAGUCCUACUUCUUCAAGGAGCAAAAGGGCCUGAGGAUACCAUCACCUCUGGAAAUCAAGCCAUUAGGGAUAGGAAGAGGAAGUGAAGGAAGGCAUGGGGGCUUGUAGGAAAGCAUUGCUUCCAUUCAAGGAGCACAUCAGUAAGAAGCUGCCCAGUCAAGGGGAGAGAGUAAAUAAUCUAAUAGAACUUUCUUACAGGCCAAAAAUCCCACGAAAGCCUGGAUGGCUGCACACCACAUCUCUGAAAGCAAUGACAAAUCACAUUAUGGUUGAGGCAUGUAAAAUAGUUCUGUCAAAGCAGUGGCUCCUGGCAUGGCCGAUUUGACUGAGUCGUCCUUAGUGCUGCUGCCUGGUUAAUGCUGAGGCCUUGAGGGCAAGUAAACUAGCUUCUGGCUGAAGUGUUGGGCUGAGGCUUCUUCCAAAGGAGAGAAAUGCAUCAAAUGGACAAAGUCAUUCCUUGUGAUACCACCCCUGGGGGUAGCUCACUUCCAUGCUUUCCACCAAGGGGGAAGGAGAGAAGACCUCAGUAAUUGCUGUAUCAGCAACUACUGCUUGCUCGACACUUGAUGAGCAGCACCUGGACCCAUGCUCAGCCUCAGCAAAUAACUGGUCCUGCCAGUGUGGGGCCCAGCUGUGGCUUCCCAUCACCUUUCCAGCCUUGGAGUGCCUUGACUUGGCUGUAAUUACUGCUCAGCAGCCCAGCUGCAGCAGCAGAGCAAGGGCUGCAGUACAUCUGCCCAGCACUUUUUCACACACAGCUUUCCACCCAGGAAUCCUAUUGUCAUGAGACAUUAGAUGUUUUAGGCUCAUUAAUUCUGGUGACACAAUCCAGAAGUGUAUUUUUAGAGGGGGUGAGCAGGUGUCCAUAGCAGCAUUUUAGCUGACAGUGCUGCAGAAUUGCUAUUCAGGAAGACUUGGUUGUUCUUUGUAUCUUGAUUUGUUGCUGAAAAAUAUGGUUUUUCUUAAUAUUUUACCUUUACUUAGCUUCAGGAAUGGCCUGGAUGAGACAAAGAGAAACAUUUGCACCCAUGAAUGGACUUUGAUCUAGGAGACUGCCAUUAGGAAACUGGAUAACUGACUGCAUUUAGGAAGAUGCUUGAAGGAUUGCAGCCUGAAGCAGUUGACCUUUCCCACCUCCCUUUCCAGGAAGCUGGAGGUCAAAUGAAAGGUUCUGGAUUCCAUGGCACGCUAAACCCCACGGGUGGGGUGGCUCUCGUGGCUGUGUGCCUGAAAGGAAGCACCAUCAGAAAGGCUGUAGGUGGGGGCAGUGGCCAUGGGGCCAUCAGCUCCUGGGAAAGCAGCUGCAGCCCCAGGGAAGUGCGCUGAGCCACUCCUGGUGCACGACUCUGAUGCCAUGGAGUCCAGCUCCAGUCUUUCUGCCUUUGAAUUCUGCAAUAGUUUGGUUUUCCUUUCAGACUUCUCAUAUGGUUUUGAAUUGUCAAGCAAUCAGAAGUAAAGCCUGGAAGACCUGAAAAAAAGAAAUUUUUUAAUCUUAAGAGUGAUUUUUAUGGGUAUGUAUAUCUCCUUAUUUGUAUGUUGAUGUCCUACAAAUAAGAAAAAAGGAUUUUAAGAAAUAACCUUGAAGUUAACUUUUAAUACAGGAAUCAUAAUUCCUUGAAACUGUAGAAAUUAACUUUGAACUAAAUGCAUACUUCAGGUGCCCCAAGACAGUGAUGUAUUUAAAAUGACAAGCAAACAAAAUCUAUUACAUAGACAGAAUUUGCAGACAGAAUAAAAUUUAAACAAGUCAUUAUUUGAAAUACAAAAAUGUAACAUAUAUGUUACUUUAAAAUAAGUUAGAUGAAUUAUUUUUCUACUUUCUUUUCCCACCUUUCUAAAUCUUGUGGAAGGACAUAUGCCUCAGGCAAACUCCAGAAUUAUUUCCUUUUUUGGUAAGAGUCUUUCUGUUUCAAAAGCUAUCUGGUCAGAAAUAUAGCUAAAGCUAUACAGGAGGAGUAAAGCUUUUGAUUUAGUACAGCAUUAAUAUUAGGAAAGAUGUUUAAUGCUCAAUUUUCUGAAGUGUCUUUACUGUCAGAUAUCACCCUAUAUCAGUAUGCAACAUUCACUCUCAAAAAUGCCUACUACGCUCUUUUUGGUGUUUUGGGGUUUUUUUUUCUUCUUUUUGUAACAAGGUAAAUAAAACAAAAA